rnacentral:rRNA from 1 species
GGGUAACCUGCCCUAUGCUGGGGAAUAACCUCGGGAAACUGAGAAUAAUGCCCCAUAGCCCACUACGCCUGGAACGGUGAGUGGGUCAAAGCUUCGGCGGCAUAGGAUGGGCCUGCGCCGUAUCAGGUUGUAGGGGGUGUAAAGUACCCUCUAGCCAUCAACGCGUACGGGUGUUGGGAGACAUUGCCCGGAGAUGGAUUCUGAGACACGAAUCCAGACCCUACGGGGUGCAGCAGGCGCGAAAACUUGGCAAUGCGAGCAAUCGUGACCAGGGAACUCCAAGUGCUUAGGGUAAGACCUAAGCUUUUCUUGACUCUUCAAAGGUCUUGGAAUAAGGGGUGGGUAAGGACGGUGCCAGCCGCCGCGGUAAUACCGGCGCCUCAAGUGGUAGUCGCUUUUAUUGGGCCUAAAACGUCCGUAGCCGGUCUGGUGCAUUCGUGGGUAAAUCAACCCGCUCAACGGGUUGAAUUCUGCGAGCACGGCCAGACUUGGGACCGGGAGAGGUGUGGGGUACUCUCAGGGUAGGGGUAAAAUCCUGUCAUCCUGAGAGGACCACCUGUUGCGAAGGCGCCACACUAGAACGGAUCCGACGGUCAGGGACGAAACCUAGGGGCACGAACCGGAUUAGAUACCCGGGUAGUCCUAGGUGUAAACGCUGUGGACUUGAUGUUGGGGGCGCUCCGAGCGCUUUCAGUGUCGAAGCGAAGGUGAUAAGUCCACUGCCUGGAGAGUACGGUCGCAAGGCUGAUACUU